UACGGAGGGGGCUAGCGUUGUUCGGAAUUCCUGGGCGUAAAGCGCGCGUAGGCGGACCUGCAAGUCGGGGGUGAAAGCCCGAGGCUCAACCUCGGAACUGCCUUCGAUACUGCGGGUCUCGAGUCCGGGAGAGGUGAGUGGAAUUCCUAGUGUAGAGGUGAAAUUCGUAGAUAUUAGGAAGAACACCAGUGGCGAAGGCGGCUCACUGGCCCGGUACUGACGCUGAGGCGCGAAAGCGUGGGGAGCAAACAGG
rnacentral:rRNA from 1 species